rnacentral:snoRNA from 1 species
AUUUUCUAAUGGUUCAAAAUAAAAGCUUGAUGAUUGGGUGCUCAUGCUCCAUGCAUGACAUGUGCCUCCUUUGAACCUUGUUACGACCUCGGCACAUUACCUAUCUGACG